GCGGGUCUGGCCGAUCGGUUAGGCAUCAGGUUUCCACCCUGAGUAGGCGAGUUCGAUUCUCGCGGCCCGCUCCA
rnacentral:tRNA from 1 species